AUUGAACGCUGGCGGUAUGCUUAACACAUGCAAGUCGAACGGUAACAGGCCUUCGGGCGCUGACGAGUGGCGGACGGGUGAGUAACGCGUAGGAAUCUGCCUCAUAGUGGGGGACAACGUGUGGAAACGCACGCUAAUACCGCAUACGCCCUACGGGGGAAAGCGGGGGACCUUCGGGCCUCGCGCUAUGAGAUGAGCCUGCGUUAGAUUAGCUAGUUGGUAGGGUAAAGGCCUACCAAGGCGACGAUCUAUAGCUGGUCUGAGAGGACGAUCAGCCACACUGGGACUGAGACACGGCCCAGACUCCUACGGGAGGCAGCAGUGGGGAAUAUUGGGCAAUGGGCGCAAGCCUGAUCCAGCAAUACCGCGUGUGUGAAGAAGGCCCUAGGGUUGUAAAGCACUUUCAAUAGGGAGGAAAACCUGUCGGUCAAUACCCGGCAGCUUGACAUUACCUAUACAAGAAGCACCGGCUAACUCCGUGCCAGCCGCCGCCGUAAAAC
rnacentral:rRNA from 1 species